AUGAUUAGCAGACUGCUGUUCCCCCUGUCCUCGUACUCAAAACAAAACUGUGAGAAGAACGGCGGAGAAGAAAAAAGAGACAACUUUCAUGUGGCACUCGUGACGAGGAAGUGCUCGCGUAGAGUCCCGCAUCCCGAUGCCCUGCCCUGGCUGCGCCGUUCUCCGCUGGGCCUCCUCCGUUCUGAAAAAAAAAGCCUGGAAGCAAAUGGAAUUGUGGGAAAACGACAGGCGUGCGUUCGGGACCUGCCGUGCUGCCUAGGCACUGGAUCUGAAAGCUUGACCAGUAUUUAUUGUUUUUGAACACACAAACCCUGAGGUGCGAACAUCAGCAGCAGAGCGAGGACCCCCCCCACCAACCCGCCACCACCCCCUACCCCGCCCCGCCUCCGUCACGCUGGGAUUCAGAGAGCGUGACCUCUGGGCCCACCCGCUUCAAACGGCCACUUGAAACGACAGCGCAACCACUGAGGCUUCUGAGCGGUGGCAACUCGACCCAAAACCCCUAUCAGGUAAGCCUGUGAAGUCCUCCUGGUUACCCCCGAACCCCCUGGCCCACCACCCAGCCCCUUUACCGCCCCCAGGGCUUUGAAGUUGCCGUGUCAGAGGCGGCGGUGGUAAACGGCCGGCCUUUUCAUGCUCCCCUCCUCCGUUUGUUCUCCGCGGAUUAGAAGGUUUGGCUGCCUGGUGGAGUCCUGGUGAAGAGAUGCUGGCCCAGGGCUCCCGCUGGUGAUGAUGGGGCUGCAGAGCAGAAACUGCGGUGAUGAGUUGACGGCGGACCCCGUACACACAGAGAGCCCCUUUCAGGCCCGCGCACGUUCGAGCGCUCUCAGUCGCGCUUAAAAUACACGUACAGCCCCUUCAAGCUGGCGGGUCGGCACUGCGGUUGAGCCCAUUGUUCAGGAGGGGUGACAUGCUGUGACCGGAGUGUGUAAUUCUCAUUAAGGCUCGGUGGACAGUAUGGGCAUAGCGGAAGCAUCAUCGCUGGUCAUUAGGGAAGAGCGAGGACAGGGAAGCGGGCGUCUGACCUGCGUGGACAUGCCUGUUGGCUGGUGACCGAGGGCUGUCAAGAAGAGGAGAAAGGGCUGUUUGCUUGUCAAACCCAACAUCAUUAAUCCCACAUCAGGUUUCGCUGCUCUAGCAGGAAGCUCACCACCUUUCCUUAAAACGUACACAUCCUCGUGGAAUUUGACCACCACCUGCAUGGUUUAGUGUGGAUUAUUUCCCAAAAUCCACCUCUUGUGUUUUUGCUCCCCGUAUUAGUAGAUCGCCCAUUGACCCGAAUGUGCAAGCAGUAGAAUAG
rnacentral:lncRNA from 1 species